rnacentral:lncRNA from 1 species
CAACAACUUUUUGACUAGAUAGCUAAAUACAGGGAAAGACACUUGGCUCUUUCUAUUUGUUUCCUUGUUAAGAUUCCACUGCAUGUCUGUCCUUUUGGUCUAACAAUACUCUUGUUUUGUUGAAGUAAAUGUCCUUGUUUCUUUGCUUAAUCAAAUUUUUUUCUCUUAUAUAAUAAUUACCUGAAGAAUCAAUGACACAUAGGAAGACUGCUGGUAAAUUGCUCUGAAAAUAUAUUGGAGUUUUUUUUAAAUAAGAGAAAAUACAGUCAAAGGAAUAAAAUACUUGUCUAUUGUGAAUAAAGUUGCUACAAACAUUUAUGCACACAAAAAAACAAUGUUUGAAAAACUAGAUUAGGUUACUUUAGGGGGAUAUAUAUUUUAAAAACUAAUAAUACAUACUCAUGACAAUAGUGACAAACGUAGAGAUAUCGAGGUGAUCCUUUUUGGCGGCAAGAUGCAAUGGCACAGCCAAUCAGGUAAGAUGUGGCCCAAAC